GUAAAGCAAACUGUCCUUGUGCCUGAGGGAAAUUACGGAGCCUCACACUUUCAUCCAGAGAGGGACAAAGGGGAGGUCAGGUGCUGCGUCUGACAGAAGUGGGGACGUGUGAAACGUGAUUAACCCAGGAAGGAGCCAGACAGAGCCGGCUGGGGCCUCCACGGCCCCUGUGUGUUUCCCAGGGUCAGGAGCAGGAGGAAAAAGGAGGGAGGCAAUUUUCAAGACUGGCACUGAUGCUUUAAAAGGAUUCUUCAUAGAAUACCUGAACUGUGGAAUAGAUGCUUUUGUUGUGCCUUCUGUAACACUGAGGGAAGUAGCAGAACGAUGUUCACUCGAAGAGGGCAUGAGAGAGCCAUACCUAGAAUGAAUUAUGGAUCCAUCCAGUGUCCCAUGCACCCUGUAUGUCAAGCCUUGUAGAACGGAACUUCAGCCUUAGACUCCCUGGGCUACCAUCAAGGACUGAACGGCCAGUGUUCCUUCUGGAGGCACCAGAGAAGGUUUAUCUUCUUGCCUUUUCCAUCUUCUAGAAGCUGCUCCCUUCCUUCAUUUUCAAAGCCAAUGGAGUCGGACCUAUCCAUCAUGCCAACUUUUCUGUACUCAGGUGCAGCCUGAGAAGGUUCUCUGUUUGGAAAGACUACCAGGAUCAGACUGAACCCACCUCUGUAAUCCAGGAUGAUCUCAUCUCAAGAAGCCACGUCCCUGGAAUCUCUGUCAGCCUGCUGCAAUAGUCAAGCCCAUGACGACAUCAUGUGGAAAGUGCAGGGCCCUCGGAGAGAGGCCCAAAACUACUACCCACUGGCUCCGGGAAAUCAACCGAGUUGCUAAACUUCUCCAAUGUUUUCAUUUCUUCAUUCUGUAAAUAAGGCUAAUAAUACUGCCCCAUAGAGCUAUUGUUAGUUCUUUGAGAAUGUCUCUUUCACCACUACAUCCCUGGUACCUUAUAAACCACAUGGGAUACAUAAGAGACUCAAUGAGUGAAUGAAUAUAUAUGAACCCCAAAUAUAGUGCAUGACACUGAAAAGGUAUUGAUUUAAUAUCAUUUUCUAAUUUUUAUUGCAGACGCAGGAAAUAAAUCCUAAUUCCCAGGUGUUCUGCGAUUAUAAAACUCGUUCCUCUCCUUGUUCAGCCACUCUACAGCACAUUUCCCAAGUGAUGAUACUGCAGUUACAAAGAAGGAAUAUGAGGAAUUCUUAAAUGGCAUCAUUGUCAAUUGUAGCGAGAGAUUCUAAAAAAAUACUUCAAUAUUUAUACCUUCAUCUCCCAUAUAUUCCAUUGUGUUGUAAAUCCCCCUCAUUAAAUUAAUGAUAUUUACCCAUUUGAGGAUCAUCA